GCCCGCCGUCCGCCCCGCAGAGUCCCCAGCGCCUGCGGGGGGCGGGGUCCCUGGGCUGCGUCUUUAGCCCCCGCACCCCGAGGCGCUCCCCGUGGCGCCCGGCACCCGCCCGGGGCUGAGGGGCUGCGCUGCUCGCGCCCCCGCCCAUUGUGUCGGGCUCACCCGCGCCUUCCCGCCGCCGAGGUGGGUCCCGGGAGCCAGAGUGGGACCGGGACCCCCGAAAACUAGCAGUCGGGGCCGGUCGUCGCCGCCUCGCGAGGCCGCGGUCCGGGUCCGGGUGGGACUAGCUGCUCCCCCUCGGGCCCCAGAGGCCCCGGGGCCAGGGCGGGGUGCGUCCCGUCACCGACCCCCGCUCCCCGCGGCAGAAGCCUUGAGCCGGUGGUGAGAUGAGCUGAACUUCUAGGGCGCUUUCGGAAAGAACAGUUCCCUCCCCGCUGGUGUGAAACUCACUUUAAUUUUCCAUGCAAUCCUAUCUUUUUUUUUUAAAAAAGAGCAGGCAUUCCUGGCUUCCCGGAGAAGCCCGAGAUUCCCAACGUGGGUUUUCCUGCUUUAGUUUUCAUUUGAGCAAAGGAGAGGGUGGAAGUUAGAAACAUCUGGAUCCAGCUGCCUUCCUCAAAACCUCUUUAAGCCGGUGCAGGAGGCAGCUGGUCCCUGAUACUCUCUCGUCGCUGAUGUUUCUCUCUCUCCCUCUCCUUCCUCUCUCUCAAAUCAAUAAAAAUACAUUUUAAAAAAGAAACUUCUUUAAAAUCCUCUAGAUUCUCGUAGUCACUGUCUUCAGCAGACUCAUUCAAAGCUGGGCUCUGAAGGAGAGUUAACAGAAAUGCAGAACGAUUUUGUUCAUUUUUUUCCUGAGUUUUUAUUUUAACGAAGGGAAGACAUGGGAAGGGUGUGUUUGAGGCAUGGAGAGAAGAACUGAUCUGCAAGCGAUCGGAACAGUGUCUGUUUUAGGAUUGUGUUUAGGUUACCAGUUGUAGAAAGAUUUUGGUCUAGGGAACUGAAACAGGAGAUAGGCAUAGAAACCCCAGAAUAUCGUAAAAGUCUCAGUUACUCUGGGUGGCAGAUAGAGUAUUCAGAGGGGCAGAGAGUGGAGGAAGGAAGCUGAAAUAAGAGUGGAAGGCACAUUGAGAAGGGGUGCGGGGGUCAGAGAUUAGUGUUAAAAUUGUUUACUGAGCUAGGAAUAGGAAGGAAUUUCCAUAAGCUCAAAAACAGUAUAUCUACUGAAAAAAUCUAAAAAAAAGUUAUCCUUAAUGGUGAAACCUUAGAAGUAGCAUUAAAUUUAGAAUCUGAUAAGGAUACUAUCAGUAAUGGUUUCUUUUCAGUAUUGUACUGGAGGUCCUAGUCAAUACCAUAAGACAAGAAAAAUGAGGUGUAUGAACUAGAGAGGAAGAGAGCAAUGCCUAAUGCCCUGUUUACUAUUAAUUUAACCACUAUAUUAGAAGGAGAAGCCCAGCUGGUGUUGCUCAGUGGUUGAGCCUUGACCUAUGAACCAGGAGGUCACAGUUAGAUUCCUGGUCAGGGCAUAUGCCGGGAUUGCGGGCUUGAUCCCCAGUAGGGGUCCUGCAGGAGGCAGCUGAUCAGUGAUUCUCAUCAUUGAUGUUUCUAUUUCUCUCUCCCUCUUCCUCUCUGAAAUCAAUAAAUAUAUAUUUUUUAAAUAAAGGAGAGGAACAUGACUUCCCAAAUUUGAGUCAUUUGCAUACUUCUUCCCAGCUUUCCGUAUUUGUGUUAGAUCAGUAUUAUGAUAUUAUUGUUUACUAAAUACAAUUCACUUUUAAAAAAAUUCUCACCUGAGGAUAUGGCUUUUGAUUUUAGAGAGAGGAAGGGGGGGAGAGAGAAACAUGGGUAGGAGAGAGAACCAUCCAUUGGUUGCCUUCUGCAGGUGCCCUGAUUGGGGAUCAAACCCACAACCUAGGUAUGUACUCUGGCCAGGAAUCGAACCUGCAACUUUUGGUGUACGGGAUGACACUCUAACCAACUGAGCCACUUGGCCAGGGCUCUACAGCUCACUUUUUAAAAAACAGCUUAUCCUUAAGUAAUAAUUCCUGUGAAAUUAUGGGUUAGGUGUGAUGAUUAUAAAGAUAGAAAGGUUUGUGAACCAGCUAAAAACAUCCUGUUUAUCAUUAGUUGUAAGCCUUUCUCACUGGCCUUAGUGGCAGAGAAUCAGGGUUCAAGUCACAUUCCUUUCGUUAAUCUUCACCCAAGGAUAUUUUUCACUGAUUUUUAGGGAGAGUGGAAGAGACAGGGAAAGACAGAGGGAUAUAUCGAUGGGAGAGAAACACAUCGGUUGGUUGCCUCUGAACGGCCAGGGCCGGAGGAGAUUGCAAGCAAGUUACAUGCCCUUGACCAGGAUGGAACCUGGGACUCUUUGGUCCUCAGGCCAACGCUCUAUCCACUGAGCCAAACCCUCGAGGGCUCAAGUCAUUUCUUUACUCACUGACUUGGUUACUCUGGGCAAGUUGUUUUCCCUCUCAGAGACUUAUUUUCGUUUCUGAAGCAAAAGGCGACAUGUUUUCUGUUGCUGGGUGAUUCAGUAUAAGCAAAACUUUGUACUGAUGUAAACCAGGAUGGUUGUUUCAAAGGAGAGAAAAGGUAGUGGGGGGGCAGAUAAAUUGUGGUAAAGAGUAUUUUUCUUUCUUCUCGAAACCUAUGUGCGAAAAAUGCAAAUGGGGGAAAAUACCUUUGUAAAUAUAGCUAUUUUGAAAGCAGUGAGGGGGCAGAGGCCAUGGUUGUCCAAAGUGGUAUUUUAAACCGUAUUAAUUAUUCUGCCAAAAGGUUUCUGUAGCAGAAAACUGUUAUCUAGCCCUAGCCGGUUUGGCUCAGAGGAUAGAGUGUCGGCCUGCCCACUAAAGGGUCCAGGGUUCAAUCCCGGUCAAGGGCACGUAACUUGGUUGCAGCCUCCAUCCCUAGUAAGGGGCAUGCAGGAGGCAGCCAGUCAAUGAUUCUCUCAUCUUUGAUAUUUCUAUCUCUUCCUUCUCUGAAAUCAAUAUGAAAAAUAAAUAAAAAGAAAAAAUUAUCUAAACUUAAAGCCCAAGUGAAAAGCGUUGAGCCUACCUAAAUUUAGAUAACUUUAAAUUUAAGAGAAAUAGGCUAGGAUCUUCCCAACUAGUGUGACUGCAUUUCGCUUCCUGGGGAAUAUCGGUUUUGGAAUCAUUUACCCAUGAGCCCAGUGACUCGCCAUCCCCUGUAUAACAGCAGUUGUCUAUUUUUGUGUGUUUACCUCAACGCUGAUAGGACAGGAACCUUCCUAGGAGUAAAGAGGCUUACAAAGGCAGCCCUCCUCAACAGUGAGGAUACCCACUUUCGCCACGUGUAGGUGUAUAUAUUUUGAUAACGCCAGCCCCAGUUGGGAUCCACCAACCAAGAGGGUGAAGUUCAACUCUUUAGCAAGGUCUUAUCUGACUGCUAUCUGGGUUUCUAAUCCGAUUUGCUCACUUAUUGUGUGUUUCAAGACAUGUUGCUUAAGACUUUCUGUGCCUCAUCUGCACAGUUGAGUUAUUAAUAGACCAAACUCAUGGGAUUAAAUUAGUGAAUAUAUAUGGCAUAGAACAGCGACUAGUACACAGUAAGCAAGUAAAUGCUAAUUGUGUGUUAUUUUGAACCUGGUACCCUUCAGUCCGCAGUCUGAUGCUCUGUCCACUGAGCCAAACUGGCUAGGGCUUGUGUGUCAUUUUGUAUGUACAUAUUUAGUUACAGAUCCUCCUAUUAGAUAGUAAGGAAUUGGGGUGGUGGUUGUUAAAAAGAAAGAAAGAAAUCUUGUGCAGAGUGGCUUAACACAUAAGAAUAGCUGUUUCUUUGCGAUAUCUGGCAGGGUUUCUAAUGUGCUUGGACCCUGGGGCAAGACUGCUUGGCUUGGAUCUGGCUUCCAGGAGUGUCAGGCAAAUUUUAUACGUACUCAGUACCUUAUUUUCCUGAUCUCUCAUAUCAGGAUAUAAUAAUGACAAUUUUAUAGGGUUCCUGAAGGGAUAAACUGGUAAUCUGUGUUGUUAUUUUUUUUCCUGUUAAUCCUCACCCGAGGACAUUUUUCUAUUGGUUUUUAGAGAGAGUGGAAGGGACGGGGAGAGACAGAGAGAAACAUAGAUGUGAGAGACACAUAGAUUGGUUGCCUCCCGCACACGCCCCGACCUGGGCCAGGGGUCAAGCCUGCAACCAAGAUAUGUGCUCUUGACCGGUAAUGGAAUCCAUGACCCUUCAGUCCCAGGGUCAACGCUCUAACCACUGAAAUAACUGGCCAGGGCAGACAGUAUAUUAUUCUUAAAUGUGGCCUUCACCUGGCCGGGUUGCUCAGUUGGUUGAGCCUCAUCCAUACACCAAAAAGGUUUUGGGUUAAAUUCCAGGUCAGGGCACAUACCUAGGUUGCAGGUUUGAUCAGGCUGGGGUGCUAUGGGAGGCAACCAAUUGAUGUUUCCCUCUCCCUCUCUUUCUCUCUCUCUGAAAAAAAAAUAUCUUCAGGUGAGGAUUACAAAAUAAUGUGGGCUUCAUUACUGUAAUAGGAUUCAGGGAUUCUGUAAAUCCUUGAAAUUACAUAGAAGAUUCUCUGAAUUUUUUUCCGCACUGCAGAUUCCUAACCCAAGGAUUAAGAACCAUUUUUCUAAAAAAAGUACAUGGUGGCAUUCUGAUUGUCAAGCGUAAUUCAUAUAAGUAAGGUAUAGAAGGGUUUGGGCUAGAUAAUCACUAAAGUCACUUCCAUCUGAUUAUCUGUGACUUUUACUGGCAUGAGCUAAGUGCCUAAUACUGCGUUAAGUACUCUGGGAGUUAUAAAAGCUAUUAAAUAUUUCCUGUCUUUAGGUAUAUACAUUUUAUUGGAAAGAAAACAAUACAAGAUGGUUUGGAGUCAAGUAUGGUUCACAUUAAGUUGGGCUAGGUCACAGUGGUCAGCAAACUCAUUCGUCAACAGAGCCAAAUAUCAACAGUACAACGAUUGAAAUUUCUUUUGAGAGCCAAAUUUUUUAAACUUAAACUAUAUAGGUAGGUACAUUGUUAUUAACUUAAUUAGAGUACUCCUAAGGCUUAGGAAGAGCCACACUCAAGGGGCCAAAGAGCCGCAUGUGGCUCGCGAGCCGCAGUUUGCUGACCACGGGGCUAGGAGAUGGUUCAGAAAGAUGAAAGUAAGGUUGAACUUGCUCCUGAAAAAGUGGGUGAAGUAGGUGGAUUGGGAAUAGCCAAGAAUGGCAAUGUUAGUUAUGACAUCAUUUGUAAACUCCUUAUGCAGGAAACAAUGGAUAGACUGAAACUUGAAAGAAGAAGGAACUAGGAAUAAAAUUAAGUCCAUAGUGCCAGGGAGACAAAUUAUUUAAAAGUUGAGUAUGAGACUUUUAAAACCUAACUUCGAUUUUUGCUAAUACAUUUUGCUAGCCUCGUUUAUUCUCCCAACUCUUUCCUGUUCAACAACUAUAUAUUCUACAACUUCCCAGUGGAUUUGGGAAGGUGUGAAUGGAUCAGACAGAUGGGCAAACUCUUAGCUGUUUUGCCAGUAUAAAGUGGGGGUUCUCUGUUUUGUUUCACGAGCAGGCUUCAAACCUCUUUUUGAAAAGCACGGACAAAUGAAAUAAAUUUUCUACAGGAAACCAUGCUGGGAACUUUGUUCUAGUAAUUGAACAAAAACUAACUCAGCAUCAAUAGAGUGUUACCUUGGAUGUAAAUUAAUUUAUCAUUCAUUUGAGGGUUUCAGAAGGGACAAUUCAGGAGAUAAAAAUGAAUGUAAAAAAGUGAAGUGUUCCUGCUAAGUUUUGUCUAAGAUGUUACUGACGAUCUAACAAUGCUACUCUUAAUAAAGGUGAUAAUUCCGGUUAAAUGUAAAGAAAUUGAGAGAAAGGGACCCAAAAUGGAAAAGAAACAGGAGACUUCUGAGCCAAGGGGACUGAACACAAGAAAAACCUAACACAGUAUGAAUAACAUUAGAAAAGAGGCGAUGCGGAGGGCCUGGCUGUCACUGAAAGUCACAUGUGGUUUGGAGGGAUGCUUGCAGAGUUGCUUGGAAGUAAGUUAAAGGAUGAUGAGCAACACUUUCCCCCUUCCUGUUUCAUUCGAGCUGUGGAGGCUCACUGGUGUCUCCUAAAUAGGGAAUCAGUGAGUCCAUAAAAGGGAAAUGUGUUAGGCAGGAUGGCAAGUGUGAUUAAGACAGGAAUUAAGAUUUUGAUCAAGUAAGGGAGUAAGUUGGGUUGGGUGGGCCUAUUUUAGAGGCUGUUGUAGAGAGUGGAAAGGGAGUUUCUGGAGGAAAAUGACAUUUAGGCCAUGAUUACAAAUCAUCCAACUAUGACUUAACAGAAAUCUAAAUUUAAUUUAGGGCAUUGGUUUGUGAAUUCUCUUGGAACCUUUAUUUUUUUAAAUAUGUUUUUAUUGAUUUGAGAGAGAGAGAGAGAGAGAGAGAGAGAGAGAAUGAAACAUCAAUCAGCUGUCUUGAGCCCACAACCUGGGCAUGUGCACUGACCGGGAAUUGAACUGGCCACCUUUUGGUGGGACGAUGCUCAACCAACUGAGCCACACUGGCCAGGGCUUUCUUGGAACUUUUAAUCCUGUUGUCCUUCUUUUGAGACUUGGCUUUUAUCCCUCAGUGCUCAGUACCAAGUAUUGGUACAAAGGAUAUCCAUUUGCCUUAUUUGGUUUGUUACUUUCCUUUAUUUAAAAUAUAAAGCCAGGAGACUAUAUUAGUCUAAAUUUAUGAGAAUAGCAACUUAGUGUAGAUAAAUAAGACUAUAUCUGAUAGUUAUGCCAAAGAUGGACUAAGAGAAUCUUAAAUUUUAAUGGUAAUGUUUUGAAGAAGUAACGAUAUUAGAAGCAAGGCCAUGUUCAUCAAACAUAGUUUGUCUCAAUAGAUUCUCCCCUUUUUUUGUAAUAAAAUUAUUAGUUCUAACUUUACAUAUUAAAUAAUUCCUUUUUAUGAAAAAGAUUUAGUUUUCACUAUAAUAGAAUUGUAAAAAUGUCAGUUAUCUGUGAUAAUCUAAGUAUUGAAAUUUACCACCAUCUAGCAUAGCUAUUUAUUGGAUGUGUGAGAGAGGAAAAGAAUCUGAGCAAACAUUGGAGAAUACAAUAUCAAAUAAUUCAUUGAAAGCAAAGGUAAUUAACUUAUAACACUAUGUGAGUUCUGUGCAUGUUUUCCUUCUUUAACUACUUUAUUUUGGACAUGGAGACCAGAUGGUAGAUUACCAGGGUGAAAGUUCAUUAAAAACUAAAGACAGCCAAAUUAGUCUGUUGUGUUACUUGGGAAAGUGGAAGAGUGGUAGCUGUGAGACCAGACUACAUAGACUAAUGGAGAGAAAAAGAAGGCGAUGCCCUGGCUGGUGGGGCUCAGUUGUUUGGAGCAUCAUCCCGUGCACCAGAAGAUCUCAGCUGGAUUCCUGGUCAGGGCACAUGACGGGGUUGUGGAUUUGAUCCCCUCCCAUCCAUAUAUCUCUCUCAUGUCAAUGUUUCUCUCUCUCUCUCUCAAAAAAAAAAAAAAAGAAAAGAAAAAAGAAGCUUGCUAUUUAAAUGAAAAUUUGGCUUUGAACAUAUAUAUAUCCAAGACUAAAUUGAAAAAUUUUUAGCCCUGGAGGGGUGCUCAGUUGGUUCAAGUAUUGUCCUGAUAUGUCAAGGUUGCAGGUCCCCCUUGCUCCCCGAAUCAGGGCACAUACAAGAAUUAACCAAUGAAUGCAUAAAUAAGUGGAACAACAAAAUUGAUGUUCCUUUCCCUCCCUUCCUCCCUCCCUGAAAUCAAUAAAUUAAAAAAAUUAAAAAAAGUUUUCAAACAGCCCUAGCUGGUUUGGCUCAGUGGAUAGAGCAUUGGCCUGUGGACUGAAGGGUCUCAGGUUUGAUUCUGGUGAAGGGCACAUGCCCUCGUUGCGGGCUCGAUCCCCAGUGGGGGGCCUGCAGAAGGCAGCCGAUCAGUGAUUCUCGUCAUUGAUGUUUCUGUCUUUCUCGCCCUCUCCCUUCCUCUCUGAAAUCAAUAAAAAUAUU